rnacentral:lncRNA from 1 species
UCUGCGGAAGCCUAUCGGCCGCUCGCCCUCCUUAGGAGCAACGAAUUGUGGGGUGCAAGCUCGGCGCUGUCCACCCGUGGAGCAAGGGGAGCACCGGAGCGUUCUCCACGCCACCUAGGACACCGACCCGCGUGGGGAGAAUUUGCCCUCGCCCGGGCUUCCAACGAGGCGUCGCGGACACUUUGGAGAUGCUCCCUGGCCCCAGCCAGGAGGACUGAGCGGUGACUUGCAGACAGGAGCCCAGCAUAAGUGUCCUCUGAGAGGCUCCACUCAGCAGCUGACUGAAACAGAUGCAGACCCGCAGCCAAGCAUUGGAUGUAAUUUGUGGGAGUCUUACGGAAAGACUGAGGACCCAGAGGGGUUAGGAACUCCACAUGAAGACCACAAGCUUGGAUUUAAAUCACAGUAACACUGCGGGAAGAUGAACGGCAGUGCUAUUGAAUGUGGCUAAAAUUGGAUCCUUCAGCACAGGAUGAGCCCCAAGAGAGGCCUGGAUACUGACCACUGGUUCCGACAAUCCUCAAAGACAAUGGUGUUCAUGAGGACAGACAUCAUCUGUAAGACAGACCCACAUGAAAACUGGGGCCCUUGGCUUAGAGCUUGCCUGAACCCCAGACUUUCUGUGUACUCCUUCCAUCCUGCCACCUUUCUGACGGCAGGGGGCUUUCUCUGGACACUUGGCUCUCACUCUGGAAGCCUAGAAGGCAAUGUGAACUCUGGGCAGACCCUGCCACCUCAAGGAAAAGCUUGCUUGGUGAGAACCUGCUUGGCGAGCCAGGAGGUUCAUUUUCUGCUUCUCACACCUUAUAUGCUUUGCUCUGUGCUAGGUACCAGGUAAGGGCCCAACUCACUUUCCUGUCUGCUUCUUACCUCACCAAACAGUUUAUGAUGUUAAUGGACAUCUCUCUGUAGCUCAUCACUGAGUGACUCCAGAGUGGUGUUUCCUGCUAGCUCAGACUAUUGUUUAACAAAUCAUCCAUUACUAAUUGUUCACUCACUGCUAUGUUACAAGGACUCACUUAUCCACACUUGUAACUCCCGAGGUUAAGGCACACAGAAGAGAUAAUAGGACUCUUUGAGCUUCCCUCGAAGCUUGCUAGGGAAGUCACAGAAAGAAAAUCGCGGGGAACAGGUGUAGGAAAAGAACAGCGUGUGGAGGGGAGAGACCUCUAAGUUCCUCAUAAGUAGACAGGAGGCAAAGACGGUGGGAAUGAAUAGUAAGGGACUUAGGGUGGCAGGAGACAGAAGGGAAACCCCAUGGCCAGAAUAGAAAACCACUGAGUCUAGACUUUACCCUCAAUGCAAGGUAGCUAGUGAUGGGCUUGCGGGCAUGGUGAAGGAUGUGGAAUGUGCCCUGGGCAUGAGCCAUGAUAGGAGGGAGUCCAGGCAAAUGGCUGUGAAGUGGGCUGAUUUCUUCUACUACAGCCUAUCUGCUCCCAUAGCUCUAGAGAAAACACAAAUGCAGGGCAAACCCAAGGGUAGUGGUAGAGUAAGCCACAGAUGCCAUCCCUGCUGGGCUUUGAUGACUUGGUUUGCUUUGAAUGCUUUUAGCAUCCUCCCUUUUUUGCAUAAGUAUGAAUGUGUAAUGUGCAUGUGCUGUAUAUAAGGGUGAGGUUGGGUGUCUCCCUCAAAUGCUUUCUACUUCACUUACUGAGGUACCAAGUUAGUUAUUGCUGAACCCACAGCAUGAGGAUAAUGUCCAUCUAUCCAUCCAGCCAGCUUGCUGGCCUCUCGAGCACUGGGCUCACAGGUGGGCACGGCACUCACACGGCACUUGUGCACUGUGUAGGUGCCGCUAGGGAUCUGAACUCUGUUCCUUCAUUUGCACAAGUGCCUACUUACCUCCAGAGCCAUCUUCCUGCCCCUGGCAAAAAGUUUUGGUAAUCUAAUUUAUUCUGUGAUCUUUGGCAAGUAACUGAACGGCUCUUGCGAUGUCUCUUUUUAUUAACUCUGAAGAGGGAAGGAAAUGAUCCAGCUCAAGGAAGCUGAGCAUGAAAUGAGACGGCACUGGGAAAGCGCUGCUGAGUCUGCAUCCUUCAGACACUGCAGGCAUAGCGAUACCGGCAGUGUGCAUCUCUGUAGUUCCACAGCUGCCAUUCUGUCACCACCUCAGUGAUUAGGCUGGUUACAGACGGAAUCUGCCAGCCUAUACACAACACAGGCUGUAUGUCCAGUCUCUCUGGAGAGGCUAGAACUCCAUACCUGACAUGCUCAACAUCCAUGUAGAUCACAUGUUCCCAUGAACAGUACAGUGAGCCAGCCAAAGUCAUAGAGCACAAAUUAAAUUGACAAGCAAAACUAACAGAUCCACAGAGACAGUCUAAAAUAUUAUGGGUUUCACAAGCUGAGGCAGAAUGGAUAUUUUAAUGGAGAAGAUUAAAGUCAGAGGCACCAAAUUCUUCCAGUAACUGACAAAGCAUCCUGGAGUGAUGUGCCAAUUACUUUAUACUGUCCUCUCGUGUAUUCAUUUGUCUGAAUGCAUGUAUUUAUGUCUGUAAUAAGAAAGGGGAUGUUUGAAUAAAAUAACUUCUCUAAAAAU